rnacentral:rRNA from 1 species
UGGGGAAUUUUGGACAAUGGGGGCAACCCUGAUCCAGCCAUGCCGCGUGAGUGAAGAAGGCCUUUGGGUUGUAAAGCUCUUUCGGCCGGGAAGAAAUCGCGCCAGCUAAUACCUGGUGUGGAUGACGGUACCGGAAGAAGAAGCGCCGGCUAACUACGUGCCAGCAGCCGCGGUAAUACGUAGGGUGCGAGCGUUAAUCGGAAUUACUGGGCGUAAAGCGUGCGCAGGCGGCUCUAUAAGACAGAUGUGAAAUCCCCGGGCUUAACCUGGGAACUGCGUUUGUGACUGUAGGGCUUGAGUGCGGCAGAGGGGGUGGAAUUCCACGUGUAGCAGUGAAAUGCGUAGAGAUGUGGAGGAACACCGAUGGCGAAGGCAGCCCCCUGGGUCGACACUGACGCUCAU